AAUUUUGAUAUUUUUGAUUUAAUUUUUAAGUAUUUAAAGUAUUUUACAUUUUUUGUUUUGUUUAAUUGAAUAAUAAUUUCACUACAGUGUACAGUAUACAAAUUUCAAAUCUAAACAGUUCUCCUUAGAUGUGGUUUUUAUAAGACACAAGCAAAAAACAAGACAAUAAGAAAUCAGUAACCAUAGCACAAGCAUUACACAUAAAAUCAAACUCUCUGAGUUUAAAAACGCUGUGGGAGAACCUUAAGAGGAAGGAUGAGGUGGCAAUUGCUGCGCAAACGGAUAACCUAUAUGACACAGGUACAUACACUAUGAACAUAUCGAUGUAAACAAAUGUGUCGUUUUUACAGGAGGAGGUAAACCAAAACAAUUAUAGCUGAUCCUAUAGUCAAAACAGUUGUGCUAAAUCGACCAUAUGUUGAACCAUUCUGUAACAUGUAUGAUGACAACGCAAAUUCUAAAUUCUAAAUCAAAUAAU